CGGGUUGUAAAGCACUUUCAGUAGGGAGGAAGGUAGUGUAGUUAACACCUGCACUAUUUGACGUUACCUACAGAAGAAGCACCGGCUAACUCCGUGCCAGCAGCCGCGGUAAUACGGAGGGUGCGAGCGUUAAUCGGAAUUACUGGGCGUAAAGCGCAUGCAGGCGGCCUGUUAAGUCAGAUGUGAAAGACCCGGGGCGUUAACCUCGGAAUUGCAUUUGAAACUAGGCAGGCUAGAGUCUUGUAGAGGGGGGUAGGAAUUUCAGGUGUAGCGGUGAAAUGCGUAGAGAUCUGAAGGAAUACCAGUGGCGAAGGCGGCCCCCUCGGACAAAGACUGACGCUCAGAUGCGAAAGCGUGGGGAGCAAACAGGAUUAGAUACCCUGGUAG
rnacentral:rRNA from 1 species